CGAGCCGACCGGGCGGCCGCGGCGGAGUCCCUUCCGCCGAGGAAAGUCCGGACUCCACAGGGCAGGGUGGUUGCUAACGGCAACCAGGGGUGACCCUCGGGAAAGUGCCACAGAAAGCAGACCGCCCGGCCGACAGCGGCCGGGUAAGGGUGAAAGGGUGGUGUAAGAGACCACCAGCAUCCCUGGUGACAGGGAUGGCUCGGUAAACCCCACCCGGAGCAAGGUCAAGAGGACACCUCGGGUGUCUGCGCAAGUGUUCGAGGGUGGCCCGCCCGAGACUUGCGGGUAGACCGCUUGAGCCUGUCGGUGACGGCAGGCCCAGAUGGAUGGUCGCCACACGGAGGUGCCGUGAGGUCCUCCGUGACAGGAUCCGGCUUACAGGUCGACUCGUCCG
rnacentral:RNase_P_RNA from 1 species